CCUACGGGUGGCUGCAGUGGGGAAUAUUGGGCAAUGGAGGCAACUCUUACCCAGCAAUGCCGCGUGAAUGAAGAAGGUCUUCGGAUUGUAAAGUUCUUUAAUUGGGGACGAAAAAAAUGACGGUACCCCAGGAAUAAGCCCCGGCUAACUACGUGCCAGCAGCCGCGGUAAUACGUAGGGGGCAAGCGUUGUUCGGAAUGACUGGGCGUACAGGGUGUGUAGGCGGGGUAGCAAGUUAGAGGUGAAAUACCUAGAGCUUAACUCAGGCGCUGCUGCUAAAACUGCUAUACUUGAGUGCGGUAGAGGAAGGUGGAAUUCCUGGUGUAGCGGUGGAAUGCGUAGAUAUUAGGAGGAACAUCGGUGGCGAAGGCGGCUUGCUGGACUGUAACUGACGCUGAGGCACGAAAGCGUGGGGAGCGAACAGGAUUAGAUACCCCAGUAGUC
rnacentral:rRNA from 1 species